AUUGGUCUCAAUUACUCAUCUUAAAUAAAACUAAAAAAAAUGUUGCUUUGGCUAUUCUGUUCAUUAAUUAGACAUUUACUACUUGUCUAACUUAUUUAACAAAGUGUACCAACAAGAAGCUAAAAAAUGUUAAUCGGAAGAAGCAAAAGUUGAUGGCGUGGUACCAGUAAGAUGGUAUCGAUAUUAUCUAGUCUCAAUUUAGUUAGUCGCAGGUAAGUGUUUUAAAAGGUUUUACCGUUUAUUUUUAGACUAAUUUUUUAAUGUAUUGUGCUUGAAGAACGUUGUUUAUUACAUAUUAAAUUAAAAUAUUUAUUUUCAGACGAAAAAUAAAACCUGUAAACAAUUUCUCUCUAUAUUUACUUGUUUAAGUGCCAGUAAAACGAACGAUAGAAAAAAAGAAGCAUUCAGUAGGCUUGCAAUUUUUUUAUAUACUAUUAAAUAAUCUGAAUGAUUUUGUUGUUUUUAUUUAUUUGAAUGAUGAAAUUGUUUAUACAAAAGAUUGGCUUUUUAACUUUUAUGUUAAAUAUGUUACAUCCUUGUUAACUGUUGUCUGUCAUUAAGAAAGCAAUUUUAAAAAUACACAUAAUAUCAACAGAUUUAUCUUUAGAACUGUUUGCAAAAUUUUUGGCUUGGAUACAAAAAACCAAGUGAAAAUGAUACUGGAAAGACGGUUAACUGUUUGACUCCUGUCCCAAUCUAACCUCGUGGGUUUAAAAAGAAGAGACCGCGCUGGAAACAUGAGUGGAUUAAAAAUAUAAGCCCUUUUUGAAUUAUUAGUCGAAGUGGUAACCAGCUAGUAGUCGUAACCUGCUCGUAUGAAAAGAUUUCUCGACGUGAAAUUGUUAAUUUUAUUUAACAACGCCAAGAAACAGAGCUCGCUCAAGAAACAGAAAAGCAAGAGAAAUAUGAAAAAAUAUUCUGUUCAACAAUA